GGUGACAUAGCCAAGUUGGUUAAGGCCACGGUCUGCAAAACCGUUAUCAUGGGUUCGAGUCCCAUUGUCACCUCCA
rnacentral:tRNA from 1 species